rnacentral:rRNA from 1 species
CAAUAGCGUAUAUUAAAGUUGUUGCAGUUAAAAAGCUCGUAGUUGGAUUUCUGGUGGGAGCGAUCGGUCUGGCGCUUAGCGCGAGUACUUGCAUCGUCUCCGGCCAUCCUUGGGGAAAGUCUGUCUGGCAUUAAGUUGUCGGACAGAGGAUCCUCAUCGUUUACUGUGAAAAAAUUAGAGUGUUCAAAGCAGGCUUAUGCCGUUGAAUAUAUUAGCAUGGAAUAAUAAGAUAGGACUUUGGUACUAUUUUGUUGGUUUGCGCACCAAAGUAAUGAUUAAUAGGGACAGUUGGGGGUAUUCGUAUUCCGUUGUCAGAGGUGAAAUUCUUGGAUUUACGGAAGACGAACUACUGCGAAAGCAUUUACCAAGGAUGUUUUCAUUAA